rnacentral:rRNA from 1 species
GAUGAACGCUGGCGGCGUGCUUAAUACAUGCAAGUCGAGCGAACGGACGAGAAGCUUGCGUCGUUGUUGUUAGCGGCGCGCGGGUGUGUAACACGUGGAUAACCUCCCUAUAAGACUGGGAUCACUUCGGGACUCCGGAGAUUAUACCGGAGGAUCUUUUGAACCGCAGGGUUCAAAAGUGAAAGACGGCCUUGCUGUCUCUUCUCGAUGGUUCCGCGCUGCAUUAGCUAGUUGUUAAGGUAAAGGCUUACCAAGGCAACGAUGCAUAGCCGACCUGAGAGGCGGGUCGACCACACUGGAGCUGAGCCACGGUCCAGGCUCCUGCGGGAGGCAGCAGUAGGCAAUCUUCCGCAGUGGGCGAGAGCCUGACGGAGCAGCGGCGCGUGAGUUAUGACGGUCUUCGGAUCGUAAAACUCUGUUAUUAGUGAAGAACAUAUGUGUAAGGAACUGUGCACAUCUUGACGGUACCUAGUCAGAAAGCACCGGCUAACUACGUG